AUUGAACGCUGGCGGCAUGCCUUACACAUGCAAGUCGAACGGCAGCACGGGAGCAAUCCUGGUGGCGAGUGGCGAACGGGUGAGUAAUAUAUCGGAACGUGCCCAGUCGUGGGGGAUAACGUAGCGAAAGCUACGCUAAUACCGCAUACGAUCUAUGGAUGAAAGCGGGGGAUCGCAAGACCUCGCGCGAUUGGAGCGGCCGAUAUCAGAUUAGGUAGUUGGUGAGGUAAAGGCUCACCAAGCCGACGAUCUGUAGCUGGUCUGAGAGGACGACCAGCCACACUGGGACUGAGACACGGCCCAGACUCCUACGGGAGGCAGCAGUGGGGGAAUUUUUGGGACAAUGGGCGCAAGCCUGAUCCAGCAAUGCCGCGUGCAGGAUGAAGGCCUCGGGUU
rnacentral:rRNA from 1 species